AUUACAAAUAAAUGUCGCCAGUUGAUAAAAGCAGCGACUAUCGCAUUGGUUCACGAUCGCAAAGACACGUAGACGCGGAGAUAAGAAAUUCGAAAUGUGUAUUUGUUGACGCUAAUAACCGAUCAUGAUACUGCGAUCGCUUUCUGAGGCUUAUCACUCAUCUGUAAAUGGUUCCAAUGACCGAAAGUUCUAUUGGAACAGUACCAUGGCUUUUUGCGCUACACUAUUGUCACGAAAUCUCCAUGUAAAGCCAUAACAAUGUUAUCGAGUUGAAUUUAUACAAGAGAGUUUGACCAGAUUUGCAAUAUGGCUUAUAUCAUAAAUUACUCUCAACAUGCUAAGCUCGGGUGCAACCGAAAAUUUUAUACUCUUGCAACUUGGAAAUCUAUCCAGCAUAAAGUCACCUGGAAGUACGAAAAUUUUUGUAUUAGGUGUAUUGCAGCUCAGAGAGUAAUUAACCCAAUUCAACCCAUUUUGGAUACACAGAGACGCUAUUGUCAGGAAAGGUUUCUGUAUGAAUUUCAAUUGUAUAUCUCACACAUUAACCGAUAUUUUCGGUCAAAAGUCAACUACACAAGGUGCAUUCCAAAGUAAACAGGACUUUAAAAAAAAAAAAACAGAACAAAAGGUUUUUUCGGCAAAAUCAAGUUAGUUCAAUAGUUUCCUUCUGCUUCAAUACAGCAUUUUGCAUGGUCCAAAAGCAUGUCGAACGAGUGUUUUAGCUCGUUGGCCGGUAUGGCUGCCAGUAUGCCGGUACAAGCCUUUUGAAUGGCCUCUACGUCUGCAUAACGCUUUCCUUUAAUAGGAAAAUGCAUUCUUCCGAAAAAGAAGAAGGCGCACGGUGCCAUUUCAGGUGAAUACGGGGAGUGGUUAGUGGUUAAAAUGUGAUUUUUGGUCAAAUAAUCGGUCCCAAGCCUUGAAUCGAACGUUGGAUAAUGAGCAAUUUUUAGUCGUCAGUCAAUUUGUGCGGAACAAACCGUGCAUACACCUUUCGUAAGCUCAAAUGUUCGGUAAAAAUGCGAUAAAUCGAUGUUUCGGAGAUGUUAAAUUCCAUAUCCAUGAAUUACAAUGAUGAUUUCGGCUGAUUUUCGAUGAACUCACGCACAGUUUCGUUGGAAUUUCCGGUGAUCACGGAUUUUGAUUGGCCCACAUGUUGAUCGUCAUUUAUGUCCUCACGACCACUUUGAAAACGUUGAAACCAAUCGUGCACUCUGCUACGGGAUAGGCAGUCAUCGCCAUAAUUUUGUUUCACCAAUUGAAACGUUUCAGGUAAAAGUUUUACCAAUUUUAAAACAAAAUUUAAUGUUGGCUCUUUGUUCGAAGCUCAUUUUCGCACCGAUAACACAAACAUACUGACACUUAAAACACAAUAGCUUCACUUCCAAUAGAUGAAAUGUCAUGAAACUCUCACUGGACAAUCGACAAAAGAUAGCAGAUUUUAACGCACCAGUCCACAUAUGGAUGGCGCCACCAGGGGGCGCUAGAUUCAAAAAGUCCUGUUUACUUUGGAACACACCUUGUAGAUACUGGGUGCCGCAUAUUCGGUGCCUAAGGGCUUGAGCGGUUUUGGAUUGGUUUCGACAACUUUUGGUGAUAAGGUGCCCUACUUUAAGAGAAUAUUACUGCAAAAUUUUAUUCCGUUAUAUUAUUUACUUCUUAAUUUGUGUAGUGGAAAGUGAAAGAAUCAUAACUCACCAAUAUGGCUGUAAGGGACUAGGGUGGUCUACAAAUUAAAUUAAGAGUAAAGGUUUUGGAGUAAAUAUUUUUAAAGUAAUAUCAAAAUGGAUUCUCAUAAAAGUAUAUAACCUUUUUGGGAGCCAUUUCAGACGUAUAGUAUUUGAUAAGUUUGGAGAUAAAUGCAGUUAGUAGACUUCCAAUCGAAGCUCAUUAGGGCUGAAAUAGCAAAACUGCUUUGUAAUAAUCAAUCUGAUAGAGAACUAUUUUUACAGAAAUUUACUAUUUUUAUAUUCUGAACAGGGUAUAUUAAGUUAAGUUAAGUUAAGUUAAGGCCCAAUAAAAAGUAUAUACAUAUAUAUAAAUCGUAAUAUACAUUGCGUGCUGGACGUAUUCUAUUCGGUUGAAUAUUAUCCAGUAAUGAAUGCUGGACCUCAAGAUGUUGACCAUAAGUUGAGCGAUGCCCGCGAAAUAAAAUAAGACUAUCGAAAAAAAUAGAAAAAUUAACCGUCAAGGAGGAAUGGUAUACUUUGUCUAGACGUGGUGAGUGGACGUCAAAAAGAAGAGGGCUCCAGACGAAGACAUCAAAAAAGUCCACAAAAUAGUUUUGGAUGACCGCAAAGUGAAGUUGCUUGAGAUAACAAGUACUCUAAAGAUAAAAACUGAACAUGUACAGCAUAUCAUUCACGCAUAUUUUGGUAUAACAAAGCUCUGUGCAAAGUGGGUGCUCCGCGAGCUCAUUUUUGACCAAAAACAACGAAGAGUUGAUGAUUCGGAGCAGUGUUUGGAGAUGUUCCAGCAUAAAAAGUCUAGUAUUUGCGUCCAUAUGUGACAUCGUCCCGCUCCAAAGCGUGAAAAACGCAAUAGUAGGCUGGCAAGGUUAUGGCGUCUGUAUUUUUGGUACCAUUUUUAUCGACUUCCUUGAAAGAGGAAGAACCAUCAACAGCGACUAUAAUAUAGCAUUAUUGAAUAUUUGAAAGAAAAGAAAGUGCUGUUUCACCAAGAGAAUGCACCGUGUCCUUAGUGAGUAAAAAAGAUUACAAACCUCCAUGAAUAGUGCUUCGAAUUGCUUCUGCAUUAUAUCGUAUUCUCUAUAUCUGGCACCAGCCACUAUUCCCUGUUCUCAGAUCUCAAAAGAAAGCUCUCUGGGAAGAAAUUUUCUUUAAAUGAAGUGGUGACCGCCGGAACUGAGGCCUAUUUUGAAACAAAGGCCAAAUUGUACUAUAAAAAUGCUAUCGAAAAGUUGGAGGGUCACUAUAAUCAGUGUUUCACACUUGAACCAGAGAACAUAAAAACACUCACUAAAAACAAUAUGUUUUUAUGUUCUCUGCUUGAACACAGUCACCUAAAACUAAGCGAGAUAGAUAUAGGGUUAUAUAUAUAUGUAUAUAUGUAUAUUAUAUCCAUAACUAAGAGCUAAAUUAAGAUAUAAAACUCUAAUUUGGUACAGGGCAUCGCUGUAGUAACGGGCACCUGUGAGCAAAACAGUUUGAAAAAGUGGGCGUGGCCCGCCCUUUAAUAAGCUUAAUGUACUCCUAAACCCAUAAAGUUAGAAUAACCGAAAUAAAUUAAAUAUUAUAAGGAAUCCUACUGACAGUGUGAAAAUAGACCUUGUUUUAUUUAUUUUUUUAAUUUUAAUUUUUA